rnacentral:rRNA from 1 species
AGCGAACGCUGGCGGCAGGCCUAACACAUGCAAGUCGAACGAACCUUUCGGGGUUAGUGGCGGACGGGUGAGUAACACGUGGGAACGUGCCUUUAGGUUCGGAAUAACUCAGGGAAACUUGUGCUAAUACCGAAUGUGCCCUUCGGGGGAAAGAUUUAUCGCCUUUGGAGCGGCCCGCGUCUGAUUAGCUAGUUGGUUGAGGUAAUGGCUCACCAAGGCGACGGUCAGGAGCUGGUCUGUGAGGAUGAUCAGCCACAUUGGGACUGAGACACGGCCCAAACUCCGACGGGAGGCAGCAGUGGGGAAUCUUGCGCAAUGGGCGAAAGCCUGACGCAGCCAUGCCGCGUGAAUGAUGAAGGUCUUAGGAUUGUAAAAUUCUUUCACCGGGGACGAUAAUGACGGUACCCGGAGAAGAAGCCCCGGCUAACUUCGUG